rnacentral:rRNA from 1 species
UACGUAGGGGGCUAGCGUUGUCCGGAUUUAUUGGGCGUAAAGAGCGUGUAGGCGGCCAGGUAGGUCUGCUGUGAAAACUCGAGGCUCAACCCCGAGCCUGCAGUGGAUACGGGCAGACUAGAGGUAGGUAGGGGAGAAUGGAAUUCCCGGUGUAGCGGUGAAAUGCGCAGAUAUCGGGAGGAACACCGGUGGCGAAGGCGGUUCUCUGGGCCUUACCUGACGCUGAGGAGCGAAAGCGUGGGGAGCGAACAGG